UUUGCCGUACGUAGACAGCGCAUUUCCUCGAUAUCCGUCAUGAAAUGAUCGUGCCUACUGAAUUGUCUCUUCCUGUCUCUCACUUUUUAAUCUAUUCAAUCUAUUCAAUUUUCCUACUACAUCAGAGAUUAAAAAGAGAUUCGAACUGCUGCGUGCACACGCGAACUUCUAUAUUAUAUGGGCAAUCUUCGGAUACGGUCGCGGAAAGGCGAACGUGCCAUCCACCACGAUGUCCCCACGUUGCGAUUACGUAAGAAUGGUUCCACCACAAAUCGAUAUCGUCGAGUUUUGAUUCGCAGCUGCGAUUACAUUUCAGGUAAGUACAAACAGCACUUGUUCAAUAAAAUUGACAAACUAAAACUAAGCUAUCGCAUUUCCAUUUCAUAAAAACAUUAAUAUAAAGUUAUUAUAAUUAAUGCGAAAA